UCCCUGGAGGACUAGUGGUUAGGCCCGGUGCUCUCACUGCUGCAGCCCAGGUCCAAUUCCCGGCCAGGGAA
rnacentral:tRNA from 1 species